CUGGUGGCAUCGAAAGGCCAUCAUGGGUCAUAAAUACAGAGCUCUAGCGUCAGAGACUAAAAAUAUUACAGUAUGUGAUUCAAUACCAGAUUCAGGCAAUUCUCUUGUGUGUAAAUACACACAAGAAGGAAGCUAUUUAUAAGUCAGGAAGAGAGCUCUCACCAGGAACACAAUUGGUCAGCACCGAUCUUGGAUUUCACAGCCUCCAGAAUGGUGAGAAAAUAAAUCUGCUGUUUAAGCCACC
rnacentral:lncRNA from 1 species